AAACCGUUAAGAGGAAAGGGAAAGAAAAAAAAAAAACCAAAACGGGAAGGGAAAGAGUAAAUCGACAGAGCGGAGCGAUCAAACCUCCAUCUAAUAACUGACUCGACUUCCCCGGGCCGGCACACACCCCUGCCAAGUGGACACACGUGCACACGCACACCCCCCCACACACACACACAAAGUACACCGAACAAAUGGAGGAUGCCGAGAAAUGUACACAGAAGAGUACGCGGCCACCCGGGAGCUUUCCCAAGACUUUCUCCACGUGCACGGUGGAGCAGCCCCCGCCUUGGACACCCACCCGCCCUCCGUGCGCGUACAAUGGAUGGACACGGAGCCGUGUACACGGAAGGACCGGACACGCCAAUCGAUCUCCGGCGGCAUCAGCUGGAUGGUGGGAUGAGGUUAUUCGCGCGACCGAACGGUAGAAAACGACAAGACCCGCACUUAAAGCGCUCAGUAAAUAGGACGGCGGGAAGGAAGACGUCCAAGCCGUACCUAAUGCACCCCACCUCGAAGGGGGUAGGGAAAACCGGACCACGGAUUACGGAGACGUGCAAAAUAAAGCUACUUACUCGGGC